rnacentral:rRNA from 1 species
UGGGGAAUCUUCCGCAAUGGACGAAAGUCUGACGGAGCAACGCCGCGUGAGUGAAGAAGGUUUUCGGAUCGUAAAACUCUGUCUUUUGGGGCGAACGUGAGUAUGGUGAACAAUCAUAGUCAGUGACGGUACCAAAGGAGGAAGCCACGGCUAACUACGUGCCAGCAGCCGCGGUAAUACGUAGGUGGCAAGCGUUGUCCGGAAUUAUUGGGCGUAAAGAGCGCGUAGGCGGGAUAGUCAGUCUGUUGUAAAAGUGCGGGGCUCAACCCCGUGAUCGCAAUGGAAACAGCUAUUCUUGAGUGCAGGAGAGGAAAGUGGAAUUCCCAGUGUAGCGGUGAAAUGCGUAGAUAUUGGGAGGAACACCAGUGGCGAAGGCGACUUUCUGGACUGUGUCUGACGCUGAGGCGCGAAAGCCAGGGGAGCGAACGGGAUUAGAUACCCCCGGUAGUCCUGGGCCGUAAAACGAUGGGUACUAGGUGGUGGGAGGUAUCGACCCCCUUUGCCGUGCCGGAGUUAACGCAAUAAGUACCCCGCCUGGGGAGUACGGUCGCAAGACUGAAACGUCAAAUGAAUUGACGGGGUCAAAGCUGUUCCUG